rnacentral:rRNA from 1 species
AGAGAGAGACAUGCGCGCAUAUCAAUAAGCGGAGGAAAAGAAACUAACAAGGAUUCCCCUAGUAACGGCGAGUGAAGCGGGAAGAGCUCAAAUUUGAAAUCUUAAAGGGUUUCCCUUUACGGAUUGUAGUUUAAAGAAGUGUUUUCCUGUUGAGGUUUUGGUAAAAGUUCUUUGGAAUAGGACAUCAUAGAGGGUGAGAAUCCCGUAUUUGAUCACUUUCUACUAAUCUUUGUGAUACACUUUCAACGAGUCGGAUUGUUUGGGAAUGCAGUCCAAAAUGGGUGGUAAAUUUCAUCUAAAGCUAAAUAUUGGCGAGAGACCGAUAGCGAACAAGUACCGUGAGGGAAAGAUGAAAAGAACUUUGAAAAGAGAGUUAAACAGUACGUGAAAUUGUCAAAAGGGAAGCGUUUGACACCAGUGUUGUUUUUCUGAAAAUCAAUUAAAGAACUGUUUAUGCUAAGCUGUUUAGACUUUAUCAGCUAACUGUUUAGUUUUGAGCUUUUCUUUAAUGCACUUUUCAGUUAACAAGUCAACAUCAAUUUCUUUUGCUGUAAAAAAGCUUGAGGAAGGUGGCUUGAGAUUCGUCUUAAGUGUUUAUAGCCUCUUGCCUAUGCAGUCGGAGAGAUUGAGGUCUGCAGCGUAGAUCCUUCGGGGCUAAAUGCAUUUGUGCUAAGUUAUAGCAUUUUAUAGACAACUUGUUGACUAUGAUUUGUCUUGUAGCUUACUCGCUUAUGUUAUUUUACCUACGCUUAGGAUGUUGACGCAUGAGAUAUACGC